UGCGUAGGGGGCUAGCGUUGUCCGGAAUCAUUGGGCGUAAAGAGCGUGUAGGCGGUCCGGUAAGUCCGCUGUGAAAGUCGGGGGCUCAACCCCCGAAUGCCGGUGGAUACUGUCGGGCUUGAGUACGGAAGAGGCGAGUGGAAUUCCUGGUGUAGCGGUGAAAUGCGCAGAUAUCAGGAGGAACACCAAUUGCGAAGGCAGCUCGCUGGGACGUUACUGACGCUGAGACGCGAAAGCGUGGGGAGCAAACAGG
rnacentral:rRNA from 1 species